rnacentral:rRNA from 1 species
GAUGAACGCUGGCGGCGUGCUUAACACAUGCAAGUCGAACGGAAAGGCUCCUGCUUGCAGGGGUACUCGAGUGGCGAACGGGUGAGUAACACGUGGGUGAUCUGCCCUGCACUUCGGGAUAAGCCUGGGAAACUGGGUCUAAUACCGGAUAGGACGAUGGUUUGGAUGCCAUUGUGGAAAGUUUUUCGGUGUGGGAUGAGCUCGCGGCCUAUCAGCUUGUUGGUGAGGUAAUGGCCUACCAAGGCGUCGACGGGUAGCCGGCCUGAGAGGGUGUACGGCCACAAUGGGACUGAGAUACGGCCCAGACUCCUACGGGAGGCAGCAGUGGGGAAUAUUGCACAAUGGGAGCAAGCCUGAUGCAGCGACGCCGCGUGGGGGAUGACGGCCUUCGGGUUGUAAACUCCUUUCGCUAGGGACGAAGCGCAAGUGACGGUACCUGGAGAAGAAGCACCGGCUAACUACGUG